rnacentral:lncRNA from 1 species
AUCGCCUUCACCUCAGGUUUCUUCUGCUCUUCUUUAGGAACAGUUACAGUGAGCACUCCAUCCUCCAUAGCUGCCUUAAUUUCCCCCAUCUUCGUAUUCUCCGGCAGCCUAAAUCUCCUUAAAAACUUGCCACUGCUCCUCUCCAUACGGUGCCACUGAUCAUUCUUCUCCUCUUGUUCUCUGCUCCUCUCACCGCUUAUCUGUAGUAUCCUUCCUUCUUCAACUUCGACUUUCACUUCCUCUUUCUUGAUCCCCGGCACGUCUACUUUGAAGAUGUGAUCUUGUGGGGUCUCUUUCCAAUCGAUUCUUGCAUUUGCGAAAGCAGAGGUUUCACGAGCUGAGGAGGGGGUGUUAGCGAUUGUGCUUGAAAUUGGGAAGCCUUCGAAUGGAUCCCAUAAGUCGAGGGAAAAUGGGUCGAAGAUGUUGCUCCUGCGACCAUCGAAGAAGCUUGGAAUCAGAGACAUCUUGGGGAAUUUGUUGUUUGAAGAAAGCAAAAGAUUGUAUUAUGAAGCUUGAGUUUUUCUUUGAUAGUAGUGUUUGAUUUGCUGAUAUAAAUUUGAGAAAAUGUUGUGCUAUUUAUAGGCGAUGAACCAAGAAACCUGUGUAAUUCCAAUAUAAUCAAGGAUGUUCACCAGAGAAUUCAACAAUAUUCUACAACUUCUUAUCCAAUUUGAGGCUAAUCCAGGAUGUUCUUUGGUUAAUUUUUAAUAGGAAAAAUAAGAGGCUUCUACAAUAUUCCAGAGAAUUUUUUUCUGAAGCGUUUAAGUCAUAAUUUCAGUAGUGCAUACAAAGGUAAAAUGACUCGGGAGGCUUUGUAAUUGACUCUGUUUGUUAGCUGAAUCCGUCCAACUCCCUCCACAAUUGUCAAUUGAACUCCUAAAUCUCCCGUGGUAAGCCCGGCCCAAAGUCAAGAUAUAAACAUAAUAAUGUAAAUUUAAAAAUAUAAUUUAUAUCAUAUAUUUUUUUACUUUAUAAUUAGUAUAAUCAGAUGGCAUAUUAAACAUAUCUUAUUGAUAAGUUUUCAUAAUUAGUAAAAUACUGAAUCACAUAAUUGGAUAAAUUUUUUUUAAAUCUAAUUUGUGAGGACGAAAAUAUUACCAGAGUAUUAUAAUAUAUCAAAAUGCUACAAGUAAUUCGAUAUUUUAUAAAAUAAUAUGAUUUAAAAUAUGUAAUAAUUAGGAUUCAAAGAAGAUCACAAUAGAAAAUAUUGAUAUUUUUAUAAAUUUGUGGGUACGUAAUUAUUUAGUUAUAUAUAGAAAUAAAUUAUAUUUAUUGAGUUUUAGUUUCUCUCGUGUGUGAUUUCAGUAGCAAGACUUUUACAACAUAUUCUUUUUCAUCUUAUAGAAUUAUCUGAAAUAAAAUAUUUCAAUGACUUCAAGAUUAUAUUAUAACAAUUAUAUCCUUAAUUUAGAGUCAUUAUAUAAAUUAACUUAAUAAUGAUCUAUAAGAAUAUUAAACAAUAAUUAAACUAACAUUAAUAGAUUACUCCAUUUGGUCGAUUUAGUUGUUAUGUAUAUUUUUAUAUGCCCCUUAAAAUAAUACCUAUUCACUCCAUUUUAAUUAUUUCUUUAUCUUUUUUCAUAUCCACCAAGAAUUAUAUUAUUUAUUAAGUUAUUUUAUGUAUUAUAUAUGUCUGGAGGGUCGAAUAUAAUAUUAGAAAAAUCUAUAAGGUAAUAGUUGAAAUCAUUAUAAAAUUUAAUUUUAUAUUAAGUUAUCUUGAAUAAUUUUUUUGAGUUAAAGAUAUUGUUGAAUUAAGAUAAAGGAAAUUUUAAUUAAAAGACAAUCUAGCAAGUGGCAAGAAGAAACCAAUUACAAAAUUUUAAAUCUAAUGAUCUUAACAAGAAAAAUAAGGGCAAAAAUAAAAAUAUAUUAAAAAAAUCACCAUCACUUGCUAUGUGUAAUAACCUUAUUUGACCAAAAAAAUAAAAUAUCAAAAAUGCCCUUGUGAAGACUAUCGAAAAUUGAUAUCCUCUCUUAUAUAUAGUAUAGUAGUAAUAUAUAUAUAUAUAUAUAUAUAUAUAUAUAUGAAGAAGCUUCAAGGUUUAAGUUGAAAAUCACCAAAAUAAAAAAAUUGUAUGGACUACAAUAGAUAAGAAAAAUAUCUUAGGAACACAAAAUCAAGGACUCGUACCAAUUACAAACAAGAUAGGAGUAGUAUUUGUUAUAUCUUGAGCAUUACCAGCCGAAGCUAUGGACUCAAAAUCUAUCACCCAAGACCCACAUCGUCACUUCGUUUGUUUCCUCCGAUCCAACAUUUAUAUGUGAUUAAGUUGCGUAGAGCGGCAGAGGUAAACCUUGCAUGGACCCUUACACUUUGUUUGGAUGGUGGUUUGCUAUGAUUUCAUAAUAUACGCUACAGUAUGAGAUGGUAUGGUAUUGUACUUUGGAUGGUUGGAAUAUACUAAAAUAUCCCUAUGAAAUUAUUUUAUUCAAUCACUUAUUCCAGGAACUAAGUAAUAUGAAUACCAGCUACAAAUUGUAUAUCUCAAAAUUAUUAUCCUUAUCUCACCAAUCAAACAAUCCAAAUUUUUUUUUAACUUAACAAUGCAUAUAUAUAUUUUUUCAAAAUUAUUAUCCUUAUCCCACCAAUCAAACAACCAACCCGAAGGUUUUCAUAAUUUGACAACGCAUAUAUAUAUAUAUCUUUUGCGAGGUGACGAUAUGAAAGCAGUAUUAGUCCUGUAUGUAAAGUGAACGGGCUGAUGAUUUCAGAAACUUCAUUUAAAUAGAGAAAUAAUACCGGAUAUUUUCAUACAUAUGCAAGGAUAACAAUUCCCAAAAUUCUAUAAAGUUCAUUAAGUGUUGCAAGUCGAAAUUGUUCUAAAUAUAUCCCGUAACAAACUAACAAUCCAUUGGCUACUAAUUUUACAUCGAAAAACCGUCAUAUGUAAAUCUCAAUACCAAGAUCAAAAUUUUAGCAAAAGAGUGAUCUCCAUAGGUUAAGGCUCCUUCAAACAAAGUUCAGAUUUACUAAAUUAACAAAGCACUACUCUUCUUAGUGAAAAAUCAUCACCCAAUCUAGAGACUAAUUUUUUUAAAAAAGUUUUCCUUCUACGCUUGUCUUUAGAUCAUUUAAAAAAGUGAAAACUAAUCAAAUCAGUUAUCUCAAGGAAUCAACACGCUUCUUUCCAUCAAAAAUUGUCUUUUAACUUCUCAUCACAAAUUAUCACCUUCUCGUUUUGACGACCCUACAAAGGUAACAUAUGGCUAAGUAUCAACCCAACUAUAUAUAGAUAGAUGGUAACCCCCAUAAAGAAAGAACAAGUAGAAAUGCACUUCAAACAGUGGAGUACAGUAGAAGAAAGCAUGGCCGCCUUUUUACGUAUCACCCAAUACGAAUUAUAAGUGCAAUGCAGAAUAUACGGUAUUAGUAAUACUUGCAUUAGUAAUGCUUAUAUUAAUUAGUUAUAUUGAUAUUGUUUCUUAUACAUUAUUUAAUUUGACAUGUUAAAAAUAAUAUAUCUUAUAUAAUUUAUAUAAAAGAAAUAUUUAUUUAUAAAACUAUCCUUCUUUGAUUUAUUACAUUUUUUUCAACAAAAUUCGUUUGCCAUCUCAAACAUAAUUAGUGUUGUUGAACUAGUAUAUAGAGGUUUAGGAUUAAUUGCAAGACCGUCGUCUUUACGCAUGAAAUGUUAUGCAGGCGGAUUAACAUAAUCGAAACAAAAAUAAAAUACAAGAUAUAGAAUAAAGGAAUAGUCUCAAUUUUUUUAUUUAAUUUUUUUAAAGACCCUCGAAGCAAAGCAAAGAUGCAGUUAUUUAAACCAACAAUUCAUUAUUGGAAAUUAAAAUGGUGGAAAAAGAUAUUUUAAUAUGUUUUGAAAAGAUUUACUGUUGCAAAUUAAAAUGGUGAAAAAAAAAUUGUGAAAUAUUUUGAGAGAAAAAUUGGAUAUAUUAAGGUCAUUUAAUAGGUUAAUGCAUGUCUUUAAAGUUUUUGUAUUACUAAUACAUAGGAAAUGGUGUGUAUUACUAAUACACAUCUCAAUAUACAAUAGAAUAUAUAUCUAAUGUUUGUAUUAGUUAUAUAUAGGCAAAAAGAUGUACCAAACAAGGUACUAGUAACACACAUUAACUAAUGCAUGCAUUAUAUUUUCCAAUAUGCUCUACCGAACGAUCCUGGUACAAAGAGAAGUUAUCCAUGAUUAACAAUACUGGAAUUAGCAAUGUAAAAAUUGCAGUGCUGAAAUUAUUUUUCAUCAAGUAUUUGAUUCAUUAUAUUAAAAAUUAGAUAUAUCAUGUAUUGUAUUUGAAUUUAAAGUUGUACAAAAUCUUCUUCAGAUUUAUAUCCUUAAAUUUCUGUAGAAUUUUUUUACUUUAUUUAACUAAUGGAAAAUGGUCAAAAGCCCUCCCCCAAACCUUUACCCCAAAUCCCAACUACGCACUCAACUUUUAAAUGUGACCUAUUACCCCCGGAACUAUUUUAAAGUAGAAUUAUUAUCCCCUGAAUUAUUUUAAAGUGAAAUUAUUACCCCCCUCCCUCCCCCUUCCCCAAAAACCCCCCUCCCCUCCCGAAAAUUGACAACCAGUCAUUUGAAAUGUGGUGUGAUACACGCGCUGCCACGUCAUUUUUUUAUUUACUCUAAAAAAGUUAAUUAUUUAACUUUAUUAUUUUUUUUCUUCCCCAUUUUUCAUUUUGCUCCAUUUUCUUCUUCAAUCAAUUUCAUCUUCUUGGGUCAAAUAUAGAAUUCUUGGGAAAAAAAAUGACGGAUUAAUGAAGUUCUUGAAUGACGGGUUAAUGAAGUUCUUGAAUGGGGUUUUAAUGAAGUUCUUGAACCUAAUUUCAUCUCUUUUUGCUCAAGAUCACCAUUAGUGGCGAAUUCUUCCCCAUUGUGGAAAUUCAAAGCUUUGAACUCGCCAUUAAUGAUGGAUCUUGAGUAAAAAUAGAGAAAAUCGAAAAAAUGGGUUGAACAUUAUACGUGGGUUAUGUUGGAAAUUAUGUAUGGCAUUGUGGAAAUUCGAAGCUUUGAGCUUGCCAUUAAUGGUGAUCUUGAGCAAAAAGAGAGGAAAUCGAAGUUGAAUUUUUUCAAGUUUUUUGAAUCGGAGUUCCCCAACUUCUUCAUUCAAGAAUUCAUUAAUCGGAGAAAUCUUAUUGUUUCCUUAGUUCAAGUGUUUCUUGGUUUCGAUUUCAGAGCAAAGAGAAUUUCUUGAUUUCGGAGAAAUCCAUUAAUGAGGAAGAUGAGAAACCCCAUUAAUGAGUUCUUAAAUUUUUGUUUUAAAAAAGAAAAGAAGAAGACAUGACGUGUCAAUUAAAAUUCAUUAAGAAAAAGUAAUAAUUAAAAUAUUUAUUAUAUUAUUAAAAAUAAUGACGUGACAAUAAAAAAUAAAGAAUUUAAAGUGAAAUGGGGUCAACUGACGCGCCCAUGGGCGAGUGUAGUCACGUCCAAUGACAGGUCAGCAAUUGGUGGUAAUAAAUUCGAUAAAAAUAAUUUUAGGGGGAUAAUAGGUCACUUUUAAAGGUUGAGUGCGUAGUUAAGAUUUCGACUAAAGGUUGGACGGUAAUAGACCAUUUUCUCUUUAACUAAUCAAAUUACUCACUUUUUAUGCGAUCUUAUAAAAAAGUUAAAAUAUAAAUAAUAAUUCUUACUCCGCUUAAUUAAUUAUUUACUUAUUUUUUAAAAAAUUGGGCCUAGUUGAUUUAAAAAAAAUUUAAACAGUAAAAAUAUAUUGUAUAAGAACAACAUGGAUUAUUGAUAAUGUAGUUUCAUAAUUUUAAAUUAUAUAUUUAUUGACAAUAAUCUACUCGUUUUAAAUCAGUCAGUCUAUAAAUUGAAUAAUUACAAAUAGAAUAAAUGUUAGCUUACGUUUGAAGCUAUCAAUCAACAUGAGAGAGAAAAUGACAUUUAGGUGCAAAUUAAAUAUGGUAUAACCAUUAAAUUUGAGGUUAGAUUUAAUAUGAAAAUAAAAGAAAGCUUUUAUUAAAAAAGUAGUUAAAUUAUUUAAUUCUCUUAUUUAUAUAUUAUUAAACAACGUAUAAAUAAUUUUAUGAUUUUUAAAGUAUAGAUAAUCUACUCUAUAGUGUAUAAGUGUGUAUAAGUUAUUCAUGUAUUAGCUGAAAUUAAAUUUAACUAGAACAAUCAAAUAUUAUAUUAGCUGAAAUUAAAUUUGAAUAGAACAAUCAAAUAUUAUAUUGAGAAAAUAGUCUAUUACCUCCAACCUUUAGUCGAAAUCCCAAUUACAUACUCAACCUUUUAAAGAUACCUAUUAUCCCCUUAAUCUAUUUUUUUUUCUAUAUUUAUUACUCCCUGACCUGUCAACAUAAACCAAGUAAUAAGACAUUCAUGCAUUUCAUGCGCCUGGCCCACACCUAAACAUAACAAAAUAUCUUUUUUCACAAUUUCAUUUUCAAUUUCCUCUCUCCUCUCUCUUCUCUCUAAACCUUUCAUCUUCCUCUCUCCUCUAUCUUCUCUCUAAACUGCGAUUUCAUCUAUUUUUUUGGGGGAAUUUUUGUUAUAAUUGAGAUAUUUUGGGUGUGAAUUUUCAAAGAAUCAUCUUGUUGCUGUUACAAGGUGUUUUUUUUUUCCGUAAACUGAAAAAAAUUGAAUUAGAAUUUUUAGCUAAUCUCCAAAUUUACAAAUUAAUUGAGUGAAAUUAACUGAUUCUUACUGUUAUGGCGUUGUCUCAGUGUUCGAUUAACAACAUAAUUCGUUCGUAAGUACAUGUUUUGUUGAUUGUUUAAGUGAGUUUAUUAGAAAUUAGCGCUUUUCUUCGAUUUGUUGUUAAUGUGAAAACUUAAAAAUUCAAUUGUGUUUAAUAGGAAGUGCGUGUUAAUAUGUUGUUAAUUUGAGUGAUUUUUUCCAAAAUUGAGUUAAAAUUAAAUAGAGUUUUAUGCUAAUUCCCAAAAUUUAAAAUUAAUUGAGUGACAUUAAGCUGUGGUUUUUGCUAUUAUAUUGUCUACGUGUUUGAUUAACAACAUAUUACGUUUCUAAUUACAUCAAAUUAGAAUUUUUGUUGAUUGUUUAAGUUGGUUUAUUAGAAAUUAGAGCUUUUGUCCGAUUUGUUGUUAAAAUGAUAAAAUUUCUCAAAAUCAAUUGCGUUUAAUAGCAUGUGUAUGUUAAUGUCCGAAACUAUGACUCAGAUAACUCAGCAGUGUGUAGAGCUAUGUCGAUCUGAAGAUAAUAAAAUUUCAGAGCUAAAAAAAGACGUUGGUAAACUCCAUAAAACCCAUAACGUUUAUUAUUAUUUUGGUUUUUAAUUUUGUAGCAUGUUCAUGAUUUUUUUUUCUUUUUCCAUAAUGUUUCUACUAUGCUACUAUGUCUUGUUUGAUUCUUUAUUGUGAUCAGGUAAGACAUGAAUGAUUUUACGUUGAUAACUCUAAGAUAGUACCAUGGUGAGGUCUUACAUUUUAGUAGGGGAAAACCAGUUUAUAAGGGGGGGUUAGUAACAGAAUUUUUGAAUGUUGACGUAGAUAAGAUGUCAUAUUUUGAGUUGAAAGACUAUAUUAAAAAUUGGGACAUAGCAUAACUUGCACUUUUAGUAUUAAAGCAUUUAACUAUGGCAUUUUGGUAGAUGUUGAUAAUGAUAUGGAUAUUUUUGAGAUGAUGUGUUCCUUGCAAGAUGGGGAUGAAGUAGAGGUAUUUGUCAACCAUUUGUUGAUGAGCCAGAUGUAGUGGCCCCCCCUCCCCCAAACCUUUAUUUUUAGAAAAUGUCUGUCCUAGAAAUUUAGAGGAAUCUGGUGCAUCUUUUAAUACUAAGCCUAACUUUAGGGUAAGUGGGGACCAUUUAAAUGUGGAGGACCCUACUUCUUUUUUUCCAACCACACCUCCUUUCAAUACCACACCUCUUUUCACUACUGCAUUAAGUGUUGCUGUAACAACUAAUGCUGCAGUAGAUGAUAUAGAUGUUGGUCUUGCUGGAUUUGAUUUUUUAGAAGAAGAAGUAGAGGCUUCUGAUUAUUCUACUGAGAAUAAUGUUGAGUCAGAAGGAGAAUUAGUUGGAGAUGAUGAUGAAGAGGAGUAUGGUAAUGAUGUACCUGAGGAGGUUAGGGAGUUGAGAGUUGAAAAGAGAAAGUUUCAAAGGAGAAAAAGAAAUGAGAGAGUACCAACUGACAAUGCAGAGGUACCAGUAGGUGAAGUAGUACCAGAUCUAGGUUUUGAUGAAACUGAAACCGGUAGAGUAAGUUAUGAAGGAAGGCUUGGAGGUGAUGAGCCUUACUUUGCAAGUUCUGAUGAGGAUAGUUUUGUAUUAGAUGAAGAUGAUUGUUGUGAUGAUGAUGAACAUGAAAUGGUUCAUUCUGGUAGAGCAAGAACUAUGAAGUUGUCAAAAAAGAGGACAACAAAUCAAAAAAUCAUUCAUGACCCAACUGCAAAGGAAGUUGUUUGCCAGUUACGUAUGGUGUUUAAAGAUAUGAGUGAAUUUAGAAAAGCAGUGACUAAAUAUGUAAUAAGAAAAAGGGUUCUUGUAGAGAAGUGGGUUAAUGAGCCAAAAAAGGUUAGAGUUAGGUGCAAUGAUGGCUGUCCAUGGCUUUUAUUUGCAGGUCUUGACAAGACAACAAAUGAUUUCAUGAUAAAAAACUUAUAUUCCAAAGCAUACUUGCAAUAAGACAACCAGAAAUUACUUGUGCAAUGCAAAGUUCUUAGCUGAAAUCUUUAGAGAAAGAAUAGUUGAGCAACCCAACAUAAGAGUAUUCAAGUUGCAAAAGUUGAUUAGAAAAAAGUUCAAACUUUAUGUUGGUAAGAUCACUGUGAGAAAAGCAAGGUCUAAAGUCUUAAAGGAGAUAAUGGGUGAUCAUGUUGUAGAAUUUGGAAGAAUCCUUGACUACAAAGAUGAACUGUUGAGGAUAAAUCCGGGGACCAGUUGCGUUGUCAAACUUGGUGAGGCUGAUGAAGCAGGUAAACCAAAAUUUCAGACUUUUUACAUAUGCUUUGAUGUUUUGAAGAAGGCAUGGGUACAUUGUAGGAAGUGCAUAGAUUUAUAUGGUUGUUUUCGUAAGGGUAUUUGUAAAAGCCAAUUGUUAGUUGUUGUUGCCAAGGAUGGAAAUAACUAGAUGCUGCCACUUGCUUGGGCAAUAGUUGAAAAACAGAAUACAAACACCUGGACAUGGUUUAUUAGGUGCAUUAGGGAUGACCUAAGACUUGAAGAAGGUGAAAGUCUCACCCUGAUUACAGAUAUGCAGAAGGUAUGUACAGUAUUUUAUGUUUAACCUCAUUUCUUUUUAAUUUAACUUAGUACAUGUAAUUAUGCCCUAACUUCACCCUUUUUUUGUUAUGUAUGUUUACUGAAAGGACUGUUUGUAGCAAUUGAGGAGGUGUUACCUCAAUCUGAACAUAAAAGAUGUGCAAGACACAUCUUAGCUAAUUGGGCUAAGGAUUGGAGAGGUCUUCAAAGAAGACAACAAUUUUGAAAGAUAGCAAAAAGUACAUUUGAGUCUCAAAUGAGGAAGAACAUACAGAAGAUGAAGUUGCUUGGUCCUGGAAAAAUGAUGUAAGACUUAAUGUACUGCAAUAUUAAUUACUGGUGCAAGCUUUACUUCAACACAGAAGUAAAGUUUGAUUCAGUGGAUAACAACAUGAGUAAGUGUUUUAAUGCAUCGAUCUUGGCAGUUAGCAGAAGACCAUCAUUUUCCUGCUUGAAGAAAUAAGAGUGAAGAUGAUGACAAGAAUAGGCACUCUAAGGGAGUUUCCAAAUACCUGGUGUAGUAGUUACUCACCAAGGUGUUUGAAGAUUUUAGAGGAGAACAUCAACAGGGCUCUGGAUUGUACCAUUAAGUUUAAUGGAGUGACUGGUUUUGAAGUGAAAGAAGGGCUUUGUCAACACACAGUGGAUAUUAUCAAGAGGACAUAUAGGUAUAGGUUGUGGCAGUUAAAGGGCAUACCAUGUGCACAUGGUGUGGCUGCACUAUUGUUCAAGAAACAUCCCUUGUAUGACUAUAUUGACAGCUGCUACAGUAAGGAAACAUACUUGAGGACUUAUGCAAAUGUUCUUAAACUAUUAACAAACAUGAAAAUGUGGCCUGUUUCAUCAAACAUUACUGUUGCACCACCUGAAAUUAGUACCUUGCCUAGCAGGCCAUCUAAGUCUAGGAAGAAGGAAGCUGGAGAAACAAAAAAAUCUGCAAAAUUGCCUAGAACUGGACUUGCAAUGACAUGUAGGUUGUGUCAUGUAGGUUGUGUCAUGUUAGAGGCCACAACAAAAGAAGGUUCCCUCUAAGAGGACAAUCAGCAGAACCAAGUGUUGCACUAUCAGUAACACCUACUGGUUCAGGCAUUGGAAGAGGCAGACCAAAGGUAAGUUUAACACUUAAUUUAGUAUAUUACUUAUCUUACUUCUAAAAUUUCUUAACAUUAUUUUAAUAUGUAGAAAACUACACCAAAAACACCAAAUGCACCUCCUCAAGUCAGUGUUGGUUCAGGCAGGGGAAGAGGCAGACCAAAGGUAAUUUUACACUUGUACUAAUUAGCUCAAUAACUUUUAUAUAACUCUCUUCUUUUUAUAUGUAUAGAAAACUCCAUCAGAAAUCAUUAAUGCAUGUCAACAACAAAAAAAAGAAGAAGAAGGAGACCAAAAAAGGCAACACUAGCAGCACCUAGUGCAUCUCCUCUACCUAAAACACCUUCUGCGCCUACUAUUUUUCCAGCAUCCUGUUCUGCACCUUCUGAUUAUUGUGCAUCAUCUUUAAUGGCUGGUAUUACUAAAAGGGGAAGGGGUAAUGAUAAGGAAAAAACACCUCCAUUGAAAAGGUCAAAAGUAAUGGGAAUGGGUGUGUUCCAAGAUGAAAAUGGAUUCAAAGUCCUAAAUGUAAGUAUCUAGCUUUGUUGUAUCUUGUGUACAUAUGAGUCUUUAAUGUAUAAGUUUUUGAAUAAUUUUUAUCCUUCACUGUAGCCUGGCAUGCCUAGCAGUAAGAUCUGCUCUAUUGGUCAUGCAAGGGUAACAAGAUCAGCUGAUAUAACUGGUAACAUUGGUUAUACACCAAGUACUACUAAUAAGCUGAAAUUGAAUGGCAAAGUAGCAAUAUGAACGAAAAAACUACAAGAUAUUAAAGAGAAGAAAAGAAAGAAGAAUGUGCGAAGCAGUUCAAAUAAUUCAAGUCAAGAAAAUACUUCUUCAAAGUCCAAGAUGCCCUGAAAAUUGUAGUAAUGUUGAUUAUUUUAAGCACUGUUUUAAGUUAGACCAAUUGAAAUGAAAAUAAUUUUAUUUUGGUGCUGAAAAAUAAUUUAAGCACUGUAUAUAUAUUUUGUUGAUGAAUGUUGCCUAAUGGUUGGUAUGAAUGAUGAUGUUGUGCCUAAUGGUUGGUAUGAAUGAUGAUGUUGUGUGAAGUCGAAUAUUUUGUUGAUGAAUGUUGUCAUUAGGUAUUAUUGUUGUGUUAAAUGAUGGUAAAGUUGAUAUAAUGUCAACACAACAUUGUCAUUACACGAUUUAAGUGUAAAAACAUAGCAGCAGCACGGUGCUUUGUCUAACAAGACACAACUUUGAAAGUGUAAACAAUAACAUAGCAACAACAAAAGACACAAUAAGUGUAAACAAUAACAUAACAGUAAUACACAACACAAUUUUGUAAAUGUAAACAACAACGUAGCAGGAGCACAACACAAUUUUAAAAGUGAAAACAAUAACAUAGCAGCAACACAAAUGCAAACAAUAACAUAGCAGCAGCAACACAAGUGCAAACAAUAAUAUAGCAGCAACACAACAAACAUCUGAAGUACGACUAAGCAAAAGACACCAUAACAGAACAUAAUCUGAUAUAUUUAGAGAGAGAUAUACAAAAUUUACACCAUAGUAGACAAGAUCUAGCAACUAGUUUUAGUUCAUUUGUUGCUGAUGAACAUAGCAACAACACAAAUCAAAAUAAAUUAAAAUAUCUUCCUAUUGAACCUACACCAUCUCCAUUUUCUAUUAAGCUUUUUCUCCCGCGUCAAGUUAUCAAUUUGGACUUGUUUAAGCCAUACGUCUUCUUCCAACUCAUUGAUUUUUUUCACCAAUCUUGGAAAUAUAAAAUUUGAUCUUGAAUCCACUUUUUCUUUGUCCCUUUGUAGGAAAAAAUUAUAUUUUUGAGACUAAAAUUUUUUUUAGAAAUCAGUACAUUAUCAUAAUUUGAAUAUAAAUUGACGGCAAAAUACAAUGCAAAAUACAUAUACCAUAGUAGAGGCAAGACCAAAAUCUUCUUCCCGGAUUUAACUUCGACCAUGAAGUUUGCAAGUUAAGAAAAAUACCAUGUUUGCAUCUCACAACAACAUUGACCAUUGGAUCUGAUUCAUCUACACAAAGUUUAUUCAAUUUCGAAUUUGUCAUUUCAUGAAUUUCGACAAAAUUAAUGAUAAAAUUACAAACCCUAAAUUAAUAGUUGAACCAAACUACAAAACAAAACUUCACGAAUUGAAGUACAAAUUGGGAUUAAAAAUUAAAACGUACGUUAAAGAAAUAGAAAAAAAAUGGAGAAACAUGAAGGAAAAUGAUGGACAAGAACAAGGGUCUUAUAAAGAAGAAGAUGACCGUUGGAAGAGAGAGUAUUUUUUCAUCUUUAUUUCAUCAAAUAAUCAAUUAAUGAUGUGUAUAUUAUGUGGAAGGUUAAAAUUUUAAUUUUAGAUGUGCUGGGGCUAAACCAACGCGUCUAGAGGGAGUGUUCUCACCUUCCUUGUCAGGUCAACAUUUGGGGUAAUAAAUAUAGAAAACAGGUCAGCAUUUGAGGUAAUAAAUAUAGGAAAAAAUAAAUUAGAGGGUAAUAGGUCAUCUUUUGAAAAUUAAGUGUGUAGUUAAAUUUUGACUAAAGGUUGAUAUUAGCUGAACAAAAUUUUAACCAUAAACAAUAGUCCUAAAUAGAACAGGAUUCAUUCACACGACAACUUGCUUCUUGUAUUGAAGAAUUAGAAGAGGGGUUCUUAAGGAUCAUUCCUUACAAAUAAUUCUAAGAGAAAGAAAAGAGACGCAACUACUUUAAAUAAAUGAUAAAAGGAAAUUAUUUAUUAAUCAAACUCAUAACAUUUUCUUGAUUACAAUUGUAAGACGAAGACCCACAACCUUAGACAAAUUACAGACACACAUCAUUCAGAUUGAAACAAACAUUAUUGACUGACAAAGGGAGUUCGACAAACAACAGUUGAUUUGCAAUUCUUCUUCAACCAAAGAUGUCAAUCGCCUUCACCUCAUGUUUCUUCUCCUCUUCCUUCGGAACAGUCACAGUGAGCACUCUGUUCUCCAUAGCUGCCUUAAUUUCCCCUAUUUUCGUAUUCUCCGGCAGCCUAAAUCUCCUCAAAAACUUGCCGUUGCUCCUCUCCAUACCGUGCCACUGAUCAUUCUUCUCCUCUUGCUCUCUGCUUCUCUCACCACUUAUCUGUAAUAUCCUUCCUUCUGCAACUUCGACUUUCACUUUUUCUUUCUUGAUCCCCGGAACAUCUGCUUUGAAGAUAUAAGCUUCUGGAGUUUUCUUCGAAUCAAUUCUUGCAUUUACGAAAGUAGAAGUUUCACGAGAAGAGGAGGGGGUGUUGGUGAUUGUGCUUGAAAUUGGGAAGCCUUCGAACGGAUCCCAUAGGUCGAGGGAGAAUGGGUCAAAGAUGUUGCUCCUGCGACCACCGAAGAAGCUUGGAAUCAGAGACAUUUUCUGGGGACUUUGUUGUUUGAAGAAGACAAAAGAUGUACUGUUACAGAGCUUGAAUUUUUCUUUGAUUGUAGCGUUUGAUAAUUUGUUGUUGAUGAAUGAGAGGAGAUGCCGUGAUAUUUAUAGGCGAUGAACCAUGAAACUUAAGUAAUUGGAGUGUAAUCUAGGAUGUUCUCAGAGUAUUCGACGAUAUUCUUCAAUAAGCUAUCCAAUUCGAGGCUAAUCUUCGAUGUUCUUCGGUUUAACUUUCAUUAAUAGAAGAAAUAAGAAGCUUCUACAGUAUUCGAGGGAAUUUUUCUAAAAGGGUCAUGCACAUUAUUGUUCGUCAAGUCAUAAUUUCAAGGGUAAGGUAUAAUGGGUAAAUAAUUUUGAAAUAAAAUGAAGAGUAAAUACAUAAUAAUUACCCACUGAUGUUGGUCGAGAUUUUUAAAAAGACACUUAAACUUUGAAUUCGACCCAUUAUCCUAUGAUUCUUACUUAAUUUAUUGCAAACACACUAUUUUUCGCUGAAUUUUAGUCACAACAAGGAGAGUGAAAUACAUGCGUCAAUCAGAUGCCACCACAUGUCAAAUAUGUUUAAUUUAUAUUUUUAUUAUUAUUUUAAUAAAAUUUUAUUUUUUAUUUAAUUUAAUACCCCACCCCAAAAUCAAUUCAAAAAAUAAUUUUAUAAUUAAAUUGAGAGUUUUAUGAUUGAAUUUAGUUUUAAAGAUAGUUAAAUGAUAUGAUUUAACUGAAAAAUUGAGCUUUAAUGAUAUGAUUUUAAUAAAAAAAAAGCUUCAAUGGAGGAACUUUAAUGAUGAUAUUGUGUUGAAGAGCUUUAAUGGUGUUGAAGAAGAUAUUAUGUUGAAGAAGAAAUGGUGGAUAGUUAAAUGAUAUGAUUUAAUUGUAAAAUGGAGCUUUAAUGAAUGAUUUAAAAAAAUUAUGAAAAGUUUCAAUGGAAGCUUUAAUGGUGAGUUGAGUUAAAGAAGAAAGAGUGGGUGGUUGGAGGGCGGAGAGGGGGUAGGGAUAAUUUUUAAAAAUAAAUAAAUAUUAUUUUUUUUUAAAAAAUAUAAAUUAUAUAUUAAAUUAUUUUACACAUGACAGCUUUUAAUUGGUCAAAAAUGUCAAAUUCAAGCCAUUUCACGCGCCUGUGGUGCAUGUAUACACGUAGAGGGUCAAAAUGGUGUGUUUGCAACGAAAUAAAGAAGAAUCAUGGGGUAAUUAAUCGAAGUUAAAGUUUAGGUAUCUUUUUGUAAAUCUCGGACAAGAGAAGGAGGUAAUUAUGUAUUUACUCUAAAAUGAAAGAUUAAUACAUCCUUGACUACAUAUCUACAUGUUUCAUUAUUUACAUAUUGAAAAUGAUGGUGUUUGUAACUUUUCACAACAUCAUUUAGCAAAAAGUACCUGCACAGUACCAAAUGAUUAAUAUUUGUCUCAUAAAGAGGAAAGAAAAAGCAAGGGCAUAUUGAUAGAUGAGAUUUCCGACAAAUAAGAAACCAAAUCAUUACUAUCACAUGAACCUUAAGUUGUUGCAAUUAAGAGUUCGGAACUAAAGUAUGCCAUGCAACUAAAAAAAGAAUCAUUCUAUGUCAUAUAAAAAAAGUAUUAAAAUAGGUUUUGUGCACUUAUUAAGUGCACAAUGCCUUUCUAUUUUAACGGUAAAUCCAUUCACAGUAUCAGAGAAAGUCAAACUUAGUCAUUUUUUAUGAAUUGUGCACUUAUUAAGUGCACAAUUCAUUUUUUUAUGAAUUAUGCACUAAAUAAGUGCACAAUUCUUAUUAAAAUAGAUUGUGCACUUAUUAAGUGCACAAUGUUUUUUAAAUAAACUGUACACUUAUUAAGUGCACAAUGUUUAUUCACUUUUUACGCAUGACAUUUUCAUUUAAUUUGUUUAUUUAUUUAUUUAUUUAUUUAUUUUUUGAUUGUGCACUUUUUUAGUGCACAAUUCAUUUAUUUAUAUUGUUCACUUUUUUGUACAAUCAAUGGAUUGUUGUGAUUUUGGACUUGUUGAAGAAGAUUAACAAACAACAAAAGGAGCUGAAGGCCAAAAGGAUCUUAAAGCUAAUUUUAAGCAUUAGUGUGAUAUGUAAUCUGAUGAUGUUCAUUUACCUUUUGUGCCAUUGAAAGAGAAUUGUCUAUGUAUGAUGUUUUAUUUUGACGAAUAUAAUAGUAUUUCUCUGUUAAAGUACAAAUACUCUUAACACGAAAAUUUUUAUGGUAGAUGAGGUGCGCCAUGUCAUAUUUAUGUGAGGCUUUUCAUUAUUUGACAAGUGCACAUUGUGGGUCCCGUGUAAUUAUUAUCCUUUUCACUUUUUAUUGAAAUGUCAUGCUUUUUUAUUUUUUAAUUUAUUUACACAAAAUCAAAUAACAUGAAUAAAAUAGGGUGAAAAAAUUAUCAUACAAUUUUUUCUUUUUUAUUAAUAUAAAUUAUCUAACUUUAAAGUUUAUCACACAUAAAUUAUUAUUUUUUUUAUUUUUCAUAUAAAAAAUCAUCCAUUUUAAAAUUAUCACAGUAAUCUUUUUUUCUAAUUUUUAAAUGGCAAUGAAAUGAUAUAAUAAAAUUAUUUAUCAUUAUUUUAUUCAAUAAAAUUAUUUAGAUUAAUAGAUUUAUCUCACGAAGUAACAAUAGAAUUAAAACCCACACUUAGAAAAUAGGAUAGUUUGUAAUUAGCAUCCUUAAUAUAUGUGCAUUUUUUUUAAUUACACUUUAUUUUAUUUUUAAUGUCUUGGCCCUUAAAAUCUCAUUAAAUUCCUACAAAAUUAUAAUUAAUCUCAUUUUAAUUGUUACAAAGACAAAAAAAAAAGGAAAAAAUAGAAUUAAGAAGAAAAAAUAAUAAUAGCCUUUCAAUAUUGAUUCAUACCUCCAGUGAAUUUAUCUUGAAUGACUUUCAAGCCGUCUUUGCUUCUUUAAAUAAUCAAAUUUAAUAUUUCAAAAGUAUAUUUAUUGAAAUUAUUUAUUAGUUUAGUUUGGUUUAUAUUAAAAUCAUGUGUUUUAUUUUUGUUUUUUCAUCCGGUGUCCGAUACCCGCAUUGGAGUACGACUAAUGCUGAUUCGCGCCGCGUAGUGUCCCAUUCGGGGGGAAGCGCACCUUACCAAGAAUUUUUUCAUACCUAGGGCUCAAACCCGAGACCUCUGGUUAAAGGAGGAGCAGCCCCAUCCGCUGUAUCACAUCAUUUGGUGGUAUUAAAAUAUGUGGUUGUAUUAUGGUGAAACUGUUUAGUUUGAAAGCUUAUAACAAUUAUUAUUAUUAUUAUUAUUAUUAUUUAUGCUUUUUAUUUUAUUUUAUGUUUUUAAAGGGUAAUUUAUUUUAUUAUUAUUAUUAUUAUUGUAUUUUAAAUAAAUUGCCCUUUUAAAAUAUAAAAUAAAAUAAAAACUAUAUAUGCUUAUAACAAAUUAUCGUAUUCAUACUAUAAUUUUUUUACAUACAAAUACAUAUUUAUAAUAAUAAACAUUUUAAAUGUCAGCCGUAAAAAGUGAAUAGAGAUUGUGCACUUAAUAAGUGCACAAUCUAUUUAAAAAAUGUUGUGCACAAUCUAUUUUAAAAAAAAUUGUGCACUUUAGUGCACAAUUCAUAAAAAAAAAUGAAUUAUGCACUUAAUAAGUGCACAAUCCAUUAAAAAAUGGAUUGUGCACUUAAAAAUUGCACAAUCUAAGCGUGACCUUCUCUGACGCCGCGAAUGGAUUUGCUGUUAAAAUAAAAAGGCAUUGUGCACUUAAUAAGUGCACAAAGCCUAUUUUAGUAUUUUUUUUUAUAUGACAUAAAAUAAUACUUUUUUUAGUUGUAGGACAUAUUUGGUUUCGGACUCUGCACUUAACUAUAUUUCAUUCUUUUAUAUCAAAUACCUUCGUAGUAUUUAUUGGAAGAGUUCGUUGUGAUGGGAAAAAUACUUUCAUAGUAAGAAAAUCUAGAAAGUACAAACAUGUACUCAAACUAACUUAAAUAAAGUAGAAACAAUUAGAUUAGCUAAAUUAGAAUAUCAUGUAAUGUUGAAAACAUACUGAAAGACAUUCGAGAAGCUAACAUCGACAAGGAAUUAAGCCACUUUUACGUCCAAAACUCUCAUGUUCUCGAUCUUUCUAUUGCAGAAAAUCAACCUGAAAAAUUUAAAAGUAAAUUAUUAUUAUUAUUAUUAUUAUUAUUUAUUAUUAUUAUUAUUAUUAUUAUUAUUAUUAUUAUUAUUAUUUCAUUUCUAAUUCUUUAUUCCAUUUUUGAGAAGAGAAAAACUAAAUUAUAAAGUUGAAGGUUGUUGCCCUUCAAAUUAAAUAAUCUAUAGCCAAUAUAAUCUGGAAAACCUCUAUUUAGAAAGGGAAAAAAAUGAACAUUGAUAUACAUUUAAUAAAGCAAUGGAAAGUUGGACAUUAACCUCCUAGAAAUACUCACUGCAUCUUUUAAAAACCUUAAAUCAGAAACUAUCAAAUCUUUGUUUUUAUUAACAACAGGGACUUCCCCCAAUUCUUGUAGAAAACUUGAGACACAUAAAAUGUGAUUCUAAUGCUUAUUCAUCUCUUGAUUUUUCCAUCAUUAUUUAAAUAUCUACAACAAUAAUAUACUGGUAUAAUUUUAUUGGUGGGGUUUAGGGAGAGUAAAGUGUACACAGAUCUUACCCCUAUAAUUCGUAAAGAUAAGAGAAGUUGUUUCUGAUAGACCCUCAGCUGAAGUGAAGUAUCUCAAAGCAAUUUGAAAAGGGAAAUAUGGAAAUAGAAAUAGUAACAUCAACACUAUAUAUGAAUGCAUGGAGCGGAAUUUACCUUACUGUUUGCCUUUGCAUACGCAAUCAGCUGCUAAGUGUCUGACUCAAGAAUGCCAUCAACUAUAGUAGCCACGCCUCUAAUGAUUGCUUGUUUAAGAGCAGAUAUGGAGGAUGCAACAACAUUGCAUUGAGUUAAGAAAUUAACGAUCAGACAGAUUGUCUUUCAAGAGAUGACGGAGGGCUUGUCACACUACCAACCUUCUGAAAGAUACAAAGCUUAUAAAUACAUCAGUAGUGGGAUGUGCAACACAGCCAGCUUCAACUCUGUAUAACAGGACGGACAACAUUAGUUCAUAUAUCGUUUUGGACACACAACCAAUUGACAUACAUGGACAAAUUGAUUUAUAAUUAAGCCCUAUGUGCUAUAAUGUUGAGUCAAGAUGCUCCGCCUUUUCUAUAGAAGCAGUCAACUGAGUUCUAAACGAAUUAGCUUCUGGCCAUAUUACGCCUGUUGGGUUCAAUAUGUAUGGAAGAAGUGUGAAUAGAAAAUGGAGAGAAAAAGGAUGGAGGGAAGGAAACACUAAUUUAGAAAGUGUACUCUCAAAUUGAAAAGUUCACUAAAUCUCCCACAUUGGUGGGAGAAGAGAACUUUGGAGUAUUUUUAAUAAAGAAUACUUACUCUACAUAGAUAGUGAGGCAAGAACAAGGUGGUGCUUCGUGUUGUUGUCGUCGCUCGGCUCGACUUUGAAUUUGGAUUGAUGGAAUCUAUUAUUUUGGACAAAAUUUAUUUGAUCAAAAUCUGAUCCGAAUAUUCUAAAGGAAAAAUGACAGAAAUGCAGAAAAUUUUUUUGUGUUUUAUCCUCCAUUUAUAUGCAUGUAUACAGUGAACUGAUGCAUUAUUUCGAACUGAACUGAUGCAAUGUUAUGAACUGAUGCUUCAAAAAGAUGCAACCAUUCAGUAAAAAUGAUACACUGAUUCAUGGAAAGGUAUGCUUGUUCGGAAAAGAUACACUGUUUGGACGAAUAGACAUGAUUUUUCAGGAAAGGUUACACCUUUUUAAAUAAACCAUUGCCACUUUUCAGAAGAGGCCAGUUAUGACUAUAUAAACCUGCUUUCAUCCAUAGGUUUAGACAUGAAAAUUUUUUUGAAACAAAAACUCUUCUUGUUUUCAAAUAUUUUGUGUGAUCAAUCAAACUGUUGAGUGAGUUCGUAGAAUCCGUCAAUUUGAGGUACCGUUAUUGUUCGGAUUGAAGUCCAUUUUAUCCUGGGAGGAAGAUUCCAUAACCUCGGGUACAGUGAGGAGAAUUAUUCCAUAAGGACAUUCCAUGAAGUCGGGGGACUUGAUCUAAAUUUCUGUUUCAUCUUUUUCUGAAUAUUAACACACUUCUAAGAUAGAUUAUUCAUAAUCUAGUGUUGAAGGUGUGAAGAAACUUCAUAAGUUCUUGUCUUGAACUUGAACUUUCUUUGAAGUUUCUGUUGCUUAUAUAUAGAUUCUUGUACCCGAAUACAUACAAAAUAACAAUCUUAAGGAAUAAUUCAGAAUCUGUAUUACUUGUUUUUGAAGAUUAAAUCUUUAAACUUUCUACUCCGUUUGAAUUUAACUAGUGAUUAGAAGACAUAAAAUCUUUAUCACAAGUUUAAAAUUCACUCGGUUGACAAUUGGAAGUCAUUAAAACUUCAUUGUUAACUAGAAACAAGAAGAAGAGUUUAAGUUUCUUAACUUUAUAAGUAGUAUUCUGAAAAUACUAAAUAUUAUUGUCUUGUGGUGACAGGAAAAAUAACUAAUGAAAGCCAAAUGCAAGAUGCGGCUACGACUGUGGGGGCAACUAGCAUUGCUUCAACAAGUCGAGCAAAUGCUCCGCAACCAAUGGCACCUGCGGAGAAGCCUGGAAAAUUUACGGGCGUUGACUUUAAGCGAUGGCAGCAAAAAAUGUUCUUUUACCUCACCACUCUAUGCCUUUAAAGGUUCACUAGUGAAGAUGCUCCUGAGGUGCUCGAGGGAACCUCGGACAAAGAGCAUUUCAUGAUUGUAGAAGCUUGAAAAUACUCAGACUUUCUUUGUAGGAAUUAUAUAUUAAGUGGUCUCCAAGACGACCUCUACAAUGUUUACAGUGGAACUAAGACACCGAAGAAAUUGUGGGGGGCACUAGAUCGAAAAUACAAGACAUAGGAUGCGGAAAUUAAGAAAUUCUUUGUUGCAAGGUUCUUGGACUUUAAAAUGAUAUAGAGCAAAUCGGUUGUCUCUCAAGUGCAGGAAUUGCAAGUAAUCAUCCAUGAUCUUCUAGCGGAAGGUUUGAUUGUGAAUGAUGCUUUCCAAGUAGGAUCGAUAAUUGAGAAGCUACCACCAAUGUGGAAGACUUCAAAAACUGCUUGAAGCAUAAAAGCAAGGAGAUGACUGUUGAAGAUCUUAUUAACCGACUGCGUAUUGAAGAGGAUAAUAAAGCUACCGAGAGAAGGUCAAAAGGGAAUUCUGCAAUUAAUGGAGCACAUAUUAUGGAAGAUGACCAAAAUAAUUCUGAGAAAAGGAAGAAAGUUGAACAAGGAAGCAAUCAACCGAAGAAGAAAUUCAAGGAAAAAUGCUUCAAUUGUGGCAAGAUUGGCCAUAAGUCCACGGAUUGUCGAACCCCAAAGAAAGGCAAGAAAAAGGAUCAAGCAAAUAUGAUUGAAUCCAACAAAGAAUGCGAUGAUCUGUGUGCUAUGUUUUCAGAAUACAACUUGGUGGGAAAUCCUCGCGAAUGAUGGAUGGAUUCUGGUGCCACCCGCCAUGUAUGUGCAACAAAGAGUUGUUUUCGUCAUUUGUUCUGGCUCAAGUAGAAGAAAUAAUCUACAUGGCUAACUUCGCUACUGCUAAGGUAGAAGGAACAGGAAAAAUGUGCUUGAAAAUGACUUCAGGAAAAGUUUUGACACUUAACAAUGUCUUGUAUGUUUCAGAGUUACGUAGAAAUUUAAUUUCUGUUUCACUUCUAGACAAGAACGGAUUCAAAUGUGUAACCGUUUCUAGUAAAAUUAUAAUUAGCAAAGGAGAAAUGUAUGUAGGAAAAUGCUAUCUCACCGAGGGCCUUUAUAAGAUGAAUGUAAUGAAUGUUGAAAUAAAUAAAAGUUCAAAUUCUUCUUAUUUUCUUGAGUCUUAUGAUUUAUGGCAUGAACAUUUAGGCAAUGUUAAUUAUAAAACGCUACAAAAACUGAUUAACUUAGAAGUUCUGCCGAACUUUGAGUGCAAUAAAUCAAAGUGUCAACAUGUGUGGAAUCAAAGUAUGCAAAACAUCCUUAUAAGUCUGUUGAAAGGAAUUUCAAUCCCUUAGACUUAGUACACACUGACAUUUGAGAUAUGAAGUCAACACCAUCACGUGGUGGAAAAAAGUAUUUCAUAACUUUUUUUGACAAUUGCACUAGAUAUUGUUAUGUCUAUUUGCUAAAUAGUAAGGAUGAAGAAAUGGGUACGUUUAGGAAAUACAAAAUUGAAGUUGAAAAUCAGUUAGAUAAAAAGAUAAAAAUAAUAAGAAGUGAUAGGGGCAGAGAAUAUAAAUCUCCUUUCGCCGAAAUAUGUGUAGAGAAUGGAAUUGUCUAUCAAACUACGGCCCCGUAUUCACCUCAAUCUAAUGGAAUUGCGGAAAGAAAGAAACAAAUUUUGAAGGAAAUGAUGAAUGCCUUGCUUAUAAGUUUUGGUUUACCGUAAAACUUGUGGGAGGAGACUAUCCUUACAGUCAAUCGUAUACUCAAUACAGUUCCCCAUAGUAAGACACAGUCAAUUUCUUAUGAAAAAUGGAAAGGAAGGAAACCCAACUUGAAAUAUUUCAAAGUGUGGGGUUGUCUAGCAAAGGUCCAAGUUUCUAUGCCUAAGAGGGUUAAGAUAGAACCUAAACUGUGGACUGUGUGCUCAUAGGAUAUGCUAAAAGCAGUAAAGCAUGUCGAUUUUUGGUUCAUAAAUCCAAACAUCCGGAUAUAAAUAAAAAUACGGUAAUUGAAUCAGAUAAUGUUGAAUUCUUUGAAAAUAUUUACCUGUAUAAAACUAGACAUGAACAUUCUAGUGGAGGGUCUAAAUAACCUCGAGAUGAACCAAGUGAGAAUAUGCAUAAUGAAGAGAAUCCAAGAUGUAGUACACGUCGAAGAACUUCUACUACGUUUGGAUCAGAUUUUGUAACUUUUCUCUUAGAAAAUGAGCCUCAAACAUUUAAAUAAGCGGUGUCGACAUCAGACUCAUCCUUUUGGAAAGAGGCAGUCAAUAGUAAGAUUAAUUCAAUCUUAAGCAAUCAUACUUGAAAAUUGGUUGAUUUUCCUCCCGAAAAUAAAUAUUUAGGUUCUAAAUAGAUCUUCAAAAGGAAGAUGAAAGCGGAUGGUACUAUUGACAAAUACAAGGCAAAACUUGUAGUAAAAGGCUUCAAACAAAAAGAAGGUCUUGAUUACUUUGAUAUAUACUUGCCAGUAACAAGGAUAAAAUCAAUUCGAAUGUUAAUUGCCUUAGCUGCGGUAUUUGAUCUUGAAAUUCAUCAAAUGGAUGUGAAAAUCGCUUGCCUAAAUGGAGAAUUGGAGGAAGAAAUUUACAUGGAACAACCUGAGGAUUUUAUGGUUCCAGGAAAGGAAAACAAGGUGUGUAAACUUAUUAAGUCAUUGUAUGGACUAAAGCAAGCACCAAAAUAAUGGCAUGCGAAGUUUGACCAAACCAUGUUGGCAAACAGAUUUAAAAUAAAUGAAUGUGAUAAAUGUGUUUAUAUUAAAGACACUCCAAAUCACCAAGUCAUUGUAUGUUUAUAUGUGGAUGAUAUGUUGAUCAUCAGCAGAGACAUUUCUGACAUAAAUGCAGUUAAAUGAAUGCUCGAGAGCAAGUUUGAUAUGAAAGAACUUGGAGUUGCAGAUGUGAUCUUAGGUAUAAGAAUCCAUCGAACUCCAUAAGGGUUGGCAUUGUCACAGUCUUAUUAUAUCAAAAAUAUACUUGACAAGUUCAAGUAUAUGGAAUUCGGUAUUGCCAAGACUCCAUUGGAUGUGAGCUUUGUACUUCGAAAGAAUGAAGGUGAAAGUGACUCACAAUUGGAGUACGCAAGAGUAUUGGGAUGUUUAUUGUAUACAAUGAAUUGUACACGAUCAAACAUAGCAUGCGCUAUUAGUAAAUUGAGUCGGUACACAAGUAAUCCCAACAAAACUCAUUGGAUGGAAAUGAAAAGAGUGUUGGGGUAUCUUAAAUACACUCAAGAUUAUGCCUUGCAUUAUAAUAAAUAUCCUGCGGUACUUGAAGAAUAUAGUGAUGGAAAUUGGAUCACUGGAUCGGAUGAAGUAAAAUCCAUAAGUGGAUAUUUAUUUACUAUCGGAGGAGGAGUAGUCUCUUGGAAAUCAUCCAAACAGACUUGUAUUGCUCGUUCUACAAUGGAAUCUGAAUUUAUCACAUUGGAUAAAGCCGGUGAAGAAGCAAAAUGGCUUCGAAAUUUCUUGGAAGACAUUCCGUAUUAGCCCAAAUCAGUGGCACCAGUAUGUAUACACUGUGAUAGCCAAGCGACAAUAGGUAGUGUAGGGAGUAUGAUGUAUAACGAUAAAUCUCGUCAAAUACGAGGGAGACAUAAUACCGUUAGAGAACUUCUCUCUAGUGGAAUUAUCAUUAUUGACUACGUAAAGUCAAAGGAUAAUGUUUUGGAUUGACUUACGAAAGGUCUAUCUAGAGAAGGAGUGGAAAGGACAUCCAAGGGAAUGGGUUUAAAGCCUAGGACAAGUCAGCAUGGCGGUAACUCUACCUAGCAGACUGGAGAUCCCAAGAGCUAGGUUAAAGGAGAUCAAACAAAGUUGUGUCUGACAGGUUCAACAUUGUCAAUUACCCAACCCAUUCUCAUGAUGUAGACAAUGUUUAGUAAACAAGGAUAAGACUUAAGGUUAAAAGUCUUUUAAUGAUUAUCUAAAUUUGGCAGAUUUGACCAAAUAGUUUAAUCUAUAGGAUUGAACAUUUAGAAAUCACCUAAGUAAGGACGAAGUGGAAGCUGCUUCAAAGAGAAUGUUAGUAAAGGCCCAUUCUCUAAGCUCUCAUGAAACUGGGACGUGUUCAUGGCUGAAAAAAAUAAAACUGUGAGAACCAUAAACGGUAAAAGGCUGGUUAUGUGACACGUGUUGUCUAGGUGUACAUUAAAGCUCGAUGGUUCAAAGAUAUCAAAUUUGCUAAUUGACCGAGUGCAUCCGAUGCAUGUUCACUACGGAAAGGUCAAAGAAAAACCAACUUAUGCAGAUGCAAUCAGUCUUUACUUGAUGAUCACAUACUUGUCCGUAAAAAUUUUAUGAAAAAUAGCCAUUCCUCAUUCAUGUGGGGAAUUGUUGGGUUCAAUAUGUAUGAAAGAAGUGUGAAUGGAAAAUGGAGAGAAAAAUGAUGGAGGGAAGGAGACACUAAUUUAGAAAGUGUACUCCCAAAUUGGAAAGUUCACUAAAUCUGCCAUAUUGGUGGGAGAAGAAAACUUUGGAGUGUUUUUAAUAAUGAAUACUUACUCCACAUGGAUAGUGAGGCAAGAAAAAGGUGGUGCCUCGCGCCGUCGUCGACGUCGCUCGCUCGGCUCGGCUUCAGCUUCGGCCUCAACUUUGGCGUCGGAUUUGGAUUUGGAUUUGGAUGAAAAUGGAGAGAAAAAUGGUGGAGGGAAGGAGACACUAAUUUACAAAGUGUACUCCCAAAUUGAAAAGUUCACUAAAUCUCUCACAUUGGUGGGAGAAGAGAACUUUGGAGUGUUUUUAAUAAUGAAUACUUACUCCACAUGGAUAGUGAGGCAAGAACAAGGUGGUGCCUCGAGCUGUCGUCGUCGCUCGCUCGACUCGACUUCGGCUUCGACUUUGGAUUUGUCAAAUGAUCGAUCAAUGAGAUCUAUCUAAUCUUUUUGGACAAAAUUUAUUUUAUCAAAAUCUGAUCCGAAUAUACCAAAGAAAAAAUGACAGAAACGCAGAAAAUUUUUCUGUGUGAUCAAUCAAACUGUUGAGUGAUUUCGUAGAGUCCAUCAAUUUGAGGUACCGCUAUUGUUCGGAUUGAAGGCCAUUUUAUCCUGGGAGAAAGAUUCCAUAACCUCGGGUACAGUGAGGGGAAUUAUUCCUUAAGAACACUUCGUGAAGUCGGAGGACUUGGUAUAAAUUUUUGUUUCAUCUUUUUCUGAAUAUUAAAACACUUCUAAGAUAGAUUGUUCAUAAUCUAGUGUUGAAGGUGUUAAGAAACUUCAUAAGUUCUUGUCUUGAACUUGAACUUUCUUUGAAGUUUCUGUUGCUUAUAUAUAGAUUCUUGUACCCAAAUACAUACAAAAUAACAAUGCCUACCACUCCCUUCUCUUUACCUGAUACAAGGCAGUCGAAGUACGCACCACCCUGUAGAUAUGAAUGGCGCGAAGGAAAGGUGCAAAUUAUCAUCUGAUGCAUUUGCUAGACAUCAAAAAAGGAAUUAACUUAUACUAUCGUGUAAAAGUUGUUUAUACUAUUAGACGUAAUUUAACCUGUUAUAACAAAUUACCUACUUUAUUUUACAGGUCACUACUUCCAUUUACUAUGUGAAGUUACAUAUUGCUAUCUUUUAGGUGUGUAAUACUAUUAAUGCAUAUGAGUUAAUUAAAGAAAAGGUCAUAUAAGCUAACGAAAUACUUUUUACACUGAUGCAAUUCAAUCGAUUGUAGUAGGUUUCAUCACCGUAAUAUUUAGGUUAUCAUAUUAGACUUGAUACGAAGAGUUACCAAUUAUUGCGAAUUAUGGUGUUCAGACACUUCAAAAAGGUAGUCACACCCGCGUCGGAUCCUCCAAAAUACAUUAUUUUUGGAGGAUUUAAAAAGCACAUUUUGAUGUUUUUAAAGAUUCCAAGCAACAUAAGUUGUAAUUCAAUAGUAUCUAAUGGUCUAAAAAAAGCAUACGUAGUCAGUGCACAAAACUUAAGCUCGGAGAAUAAAAUGACUUACUUCAUUUGCUUGGUUUGGACAAGCUUGCCAGCAGUAGAAAUAUCAGCAUCAAGUUCUUCAUUUUGGUAGAAAAGUUUAGGAUCAUUUACCAUAUCCAAUUUUCUCUUCUUGUAAGCAGCAACACAAACUUGCAAUAACCUAGUAAAAGGGCUACCAGCAGGAUCCAAAUUUCUAUACAAAGGGUAUCCAAAUAUGAACACAACAAUUGAAAUAAGCAUAGCAAUUAUUGGUACAACAAAUCCAAUGCUCCAUCCAAUAUUAUCUUGAAUGUAAACAAUUAUCGUGACAGCAACAAGCAUUGAAAAUCCCAUUGGCCUGAUUUUGCUUCUUUUUCAUUGAAAAUCCCAUUGGCUUGAUUUUGCUUCUUUUUUCAUGAGCUAUUUACUCAUUCUUCUUUUACUCUGAGUUUGAAAUUGUUAUUUUAUGGUGUUUUCGGGUACAAGAAUCUGUAUUUAGGCACAACUUCAACACUAGUUCAAAUUUAAAACAAGAACCCUAUAAAGUACAAAAACACCCUCAACACAAGAUCGAAGUGAUCUUUCUAAGAAGUGUGUUUUAGUUUUUCAGAAAUUAAGAUGAAAUAGAAAUAUAAAGCCAAGUCCCCCGACUUCAUGGAGUGUCCUUAAGAAAUAAUUUUCCUCACUGUAUCCGAGGUUUUGGAAUCUUCCUCCAAGGAUAAAAUGACUUUCAAUCCAACUAUAGUGGUACCUCAAAUAAUUGAAUUUGUCGAACUCACCCAACGAUUUGAUUGAUCACAAAGAAUGUUUUGAAUACAAGAAGAGUUUUUAUUCCAUAAAAUUUUUCAUUCAUUUCUAAACCUGUAGAUGAAAGCAGGUUUAUACAACCAACAAAUACCUUUUCUGAAAGAUAACAAUGGUUUACUUAAAAGGUGUAUCCUUUGGAAGAGUCAUGUUUGUUCAUUUGAAACAUUGUAUCUUUUUCUGAACAGACACAAUUAUCUGAACAGUCACACCUUUUUCAAAAUAAGAUAUCUUUUGCUCAAAGGUUGUGUCCCUCUAUUUUCCAUUCACACCAAUUAAACCAAACAAUCCCCCAUAUGAAUGGGGAAUGACUAUUCUUUGUAAAACUUUACAAAAAAGUAUGUGAUCAUCGAACAAAGAUUGAUUGCGUCUGGAUAAGUGGGUUUUCCUUUGAACUUUUCGUAGUGAACAUGCAUCGGAUGCACUCGGUCAAUAGGUAGAUUUGAUAUCUUUGAGCCGUCGAGCUUUAAUGUACACCUAGACAACACAUGUCACACAGCCUUUUACCAUUUAUGGUUCUCAUGGUUUUGUUUUUUUCAGCCAUGAACACGUCUUGCUUUCAUGAGAUCUUAGAGAAUAGACCUUUACUAACAUUCUCCUUGAAGCGGCUACCACUUUGCCCUCACAUAGGUGAUUUCUAAACGUUCAAUCCUAUAGAUUAAACUAUUUGAACAAAUAUUCCAAAUUUAGAUAAUCAUUAAAAGAAUUUUCACUUUAAGUCUUAUCCUUAUCUACUAAACAUUAUCUACAUCAUGAGAAUGGAUUGGAUAAUUGACAAUGUUGAACCUGUCUGACACAACUUUGUUUGAUCUCAUUGAACUUAGCUCUUGGAAUCUCCAGUUUACUAGGUAGAGUUACCGCCAUGCUGACUUGUCCUAGGACUUAAACCCAUUCCUUUGGAUGUGCUUUCCACUCCUUCUCUAGAUGGGUCUUUUGUAAGUGGAUCCGACACAUUAUCCUUUGACUUUACAUAGUCAACAGUGAUAAUUCCACUAGAGAGAAGUUCCCUAACGGUAUUAUGUCUCCGUCGUAUGUGACAAGAUUUACCGUUGUACAUUAUGAUUCCUGCCCUACCUAUUGCCGCUUGGCUAUCAUAGUGUAUACAUACUAGUGUCACUGGUUUGGGAAAAUAACAAAUAUCUUCCAAGAAAUUCUGGAGCCAUUCUGCUUCUUCAACGGUUUUAUCCAAUGCGAUAAAUUCAGAUUCUAUGUAGAGCGAGUAAUACAAGUCUGUUUGGAUGAGUUCCAAGAGACCGCUCCUCCACCGAUAGUAAAUACAUAUCCACUUGUGGAUUUUACUUCGUUCGAUCCGGUGAUUCAAUUUGCAUCACUAUAUCCUUUGAGUACCGCGGGAUAUUUAUUAUAAUGCAAGGCAUAGUCUUGAGUGUAUUUAAGAUACCCCAAAACUCUUUUCAUUGCCACCCAACGAGUUUUGUUGGGAUUACUCAUUUACCGACUCAAUUUACUAAUAACGCAUGCUAUAUCUGGUUAUGUACAGUUCAUAGUAUACAUUGAACAUCCCAAUAUUCUUGUAUACUCCAAUUGUGAGUCACUUUUACCUUUAUUCUUUCGAAGUGCAAAGCUCACAUCCAAUGGAGUCUUGGCAGUACCGAAUUCCAUAUACUUGAAUUUGUCAAGUACCUUUUAGAUAUAAUGAGACUGUGACAAUGCCAACCCUUGUGGAGUUCUAUGGAUUCUUAUACCUAAGAUCACAUCCGUAACUCCAAGGUCUUUCAUAUCGAACUUGCUCUAGAGCAUUCGUUUCGUUGCAUUUAUGUCAGAAAUGUCUCUACUGAUAAUCAACAUAUCAUCUACAUAUAAACACACAAUGACUUGAUGAUUUGGAGUUUCUUUAAUAUAAACACAUUUAUCACAUUCACUUAUUUUGAACCCGUUUGCCAACAUGGUUUAGUCAAACUUCGCAUGUCAUUGUUUAGGUGCUUGCUUUAGUCCAUACAAUGAAUUAAUAAGUUUACAAACCUUAUUCUCCUUUCCUGGAACCACAAAACCCUCAGGUUGUUUCAUGUAAAUUUGUUCCUCCAAUUCUCCAUUUAGAAAUACGUUUUCACAUCCAUUUGAUGGAUUUCAAGACCAUAUACUGUUGCCAAGGCAAUUAACAUUCGAAUCGAUGUUAUCCUUGUUACUGUCGAGUAUGUAUCAAAGUAAUCAAGACCUUCUUUUUUCUUGAAGCCUUUUACUACAAGUCUUGCCUUGAAUUUGUCAAUAGUACCAUCCGCUUUUAUUUUCCUUUUAAAGAUCCAUUAGAACCUAAAGGUUUAUUUUCUGGAGGAAGAUCAACCAAUUCCCACAUAUGUUUGCUUAAGAUUGAAUCAAUCUCACUAGUGACUAUCUUUUUCUAAAAGGAUGAGUUUGACGACGACAUCACUUCUUUAAAUGUUUGAGACUUAUUUUUUAAGAAAAAUAUUACAAAAUCUGAUCCAAAUGUAGUAGAAGUUCUUUGAUGUGUACUACGUCUUGGAUUCUCUUCAUUAUGUAUAUUCUCACUUGGUUCAUAUCGAGGUCGUUUAGACCCUCCACAAGACUGUUCAUGUCUAGUUUUAUACGGGUAAAUGUUUUCAAAGAAUUCAACAUUAUCUUAUUCAAUUACUGUAUUUUCAUUUAUAUCCUGAUGUUUGAAUUUAUGAACCAAAAACCGACAUGCUUUACUGCUUUUAGCAUAUCCUAUGAAUACGCAGUCCAUAGUCUUAGGUCCUAUCUUAACCCUCUUAGGCAUAGGAGCUUUAACCUUUUCUAGACACCUCUACACGUUGAAAUAUUUCAAGUUGAGUUUUCUUCCUUUCCAUUUUCAUAAGGAAUUGAUUGUGUCUUGCUAUGAAGAACUCUAUUGAGUAUAUGGCUGUAAGGAUAGCCUUCCCCCACAAGUUUUGUGGUAAACCAAAACAUAUAAGCAAGACAUUCAUCAUUUCUUUUAAAGUUUGAUUUUUUCCGCAAUUUUGUUAGAUUGAGGUGAAUACAGGGCCUUAGUUUGAUGGAAAAUUCCAUUCUCUACACAUAUUUUGGCGAAGGGAGAUACAUAUUCUCCGCCCCUAUCACUUCUUAUCAUUUUUAUCUUUUUCUCUAACUGAUUUUCUACUUCAGUUUUGUAUUGCCUAAAUGCAUAUAUUGCUUCAUACUUACUAUUUAGCAAAUAGACAUAACAAUAUCUAGUGCAAUUGUCAAUAAAAGUUAUGAAAUACUUUUUCUCACCACAUGAUGGUGUGACUUCAUAUCACAAAUGUCAGUGUGUACUAAGUCUAAAGGAUUGAAAUUCCUUUCAACGGACUUAUAAGGAUGCUUUGCAUACUUUGAUUCCACACACGUUUGACACUUUGAUUUAUUGCACUCAAAGUUUCGCAAAACUUCUGAGUUAAUCAACUUUUGUAACAUUUUUUAAUUAACAUGACCUAGACGUUCAUACCAUAAAUUAUAAGACUCAAGCAAGUAAGAAGAAUUUGAACUUUUAUUUAUUUCAACAUUCAUUACAUUCAUCUUAUAAAGGCCCUCGGUGAGAUAGUCUUUUCCUACAUACACUUCUCCUUUUCUAAUUACAGUUUUUUCUGAAACGAUUACACAUUUGAAUCCGUUCUUUUCUAGAAGUGAAACAAAAAUUAAGUUCCUAUGUAAUUUCAAAAUGUACAAAACAUUGUUAAUUGUCAACACCUUUUCUGAAGUCAUUUUCAAGCCCACUUUUCCUGUUCCUUCUACCUUAGCCGUAGUGGAGUUAGCCAGGUAGAUUAUUUCUUCCACUUGAGCCAGAGCAAAUGACGAAAAUAACUCUUUGUUGGCACAAACAUGGCGGGUGGUACCAAAAUCCAUCCACCACUUGGGAGGAUUCCCCACCAAGUUGCAUUCUGAAAGCAUAGCACACAGAUUAUCACAUUCUUUGUUGGACUCAAUCAUAUUUGCUUGGUCCUUUUUCUUGCCUUUCUUAGGGGCACGAUAAUUUGUGGACUUAUGGCCAAUCUUGCCACAGUUGAAACACUUUCUCUUGAAUUUCUUCUUGGGUUGAUGGCUUCCUUGUUCAACUUUCUUCCUUUUCUUAGAAUUGUUUUGGUCAUCUUCUACAAUAUGUGCCCCAUUAAUUGUAGAAUUCUCUUUUGACCUUCUCUCGGCAGCCUUGUUAUCCUCUUCAAUACGUAGUCGGACAAUAUGAUCUUCGAUAUCCAUAUUCUUGCGUUUGUGCUUUAAGUAGUUUUUGAAGUCUUUCCAUAUAGGUGGUAGCUUCUUAAUGAUCGUUGCUACUUGAAAUGCAUCAUUCACAAUCAAACCUACAAAACAGUUUAUGUGAGUACUAAGAACAUUUUCAAUUUGUUUAACUAAGGUAUUUUUCAAAGAUAUACCUUCUGCUAGGAGAUCGUGAAUGAUUACUUGCAAUUCCUGCACUUGAGAGACAACCAAUUUGCUAUCUAUCAUUUUAAAGUCUAACAACCUUACAACAAAGAAUUUCUUAAUUCCCGCAUCCUCUGUCUUAUAUUUUCAUUCUAGUGACCCCCACAAUUCGUUUAAUGUCUUAGUUCUACUAUAAAUAUUAUAGAGGUCGUCUUGGAGACCACUCAAUAUAUAAUUCCUGCAAUGGAAGUCUGAGUGUUUCCAAGAUUCUACAAUCAUGAAAUGCUCUUUGUCUGAGGUUUCCUCGGGCACCUCAGGAGCAUCCUUAGUAGUGAACCUUUAAAGGCAUAGAUUGGUGAGGUAAAAGAACAUCUUUUGCUGCCAUCGCUUAAAGUCAAUGCCCAAAAAUUUUCUGGACUUCUCCGCAGGUGCCAUUGGCUGCAGAGCAUUUGCUUGACUUGUUGAAGCAAUGCUAGUUACCCCCACAGUCGUAGCCGCAUCUUGCAUUUGACUUUCGUUAGUCAUUUUAUUGUCACCACAAGACAAUAAAAUUUAGUAUUUUCAUAAUACUAUUUAUAAAGAUAAGCAACUUUAAACUUUUCUUCUUGUUUCUAGUUAAUGAUGAAGUUUUUAUGACUUCCAAUCGUCAACCGAAUGAUCUUUAACUUGUGAUGAAGAUUUUCUGUCUUCGAAUUACUAGUUAAGUUCAAAUGGAGUACAAAGCUUAAAGCUUUAAUCUCUAAAAACAAGCAAUACAGAUUCUGCAAAAAAUUAUUUCUUAAGAUUGUUAUUUUAUGGUGUUUUCAAGUACGGGAAUUUGUAUUUAGGCACAACAACUUCAACACUAGUUCAAGUUUAAAACAAGAACACUAUGAAGUACAAAAACACAAGAUCAAAGUGAUCUUUCGAAGAAGUGUGUUUUAUUUUUUCAGAAAUUAAGAUGAAACAGAAAUAUAAAGCCAAGUCCCCCGACUUCACGGAGUGUCCUUAAGAAAUAAUUUCCCUCAUUGUACGCGAGGUUUUGGAAUCUUCAUCCCAGGAUAAAAUGACUUUCAAUCCAACUAUAGUGGUACCUCAAAUAAUUGGAUUUGUCGAACUCACUCAACGAUUUGAUUGAUCACAAUGAAUGUUUUGAAGACAAGAAGAGUUUUUAUUCAAGAAAAUUUUUCAUUCAUUUCUAAACCUGUAGAUGAAAGCAGGUUUAUAUAGCCAUCAGAUGCCUCUUCUGAAAGGUGGCAAUGAUUCACUUAAAAGGUGUAUCCUUUGGAAGAGUCAUAUCUAUUCAUUCAAAACAUUAUGUCUUUUUCUGAACAGACACAACUAUCUGAAUAAUCACACCUUUUCCAUACAUAAUAUAUUUUUUGCUCAAAGGUUGUGUCCCUCCAUUUUCCAUUCACACCAAUUAAACCCAACAGAAACAAAUGAAAUCUCACCAUCUUAGUGUGACUGCAUGUUGUUGAAGAGUUUUUCAUUGAAUGAAAAAACGGAUAGGUGACCUCAUCUUAUGGCCUUGGAUAACCUUAACCUUCUGAGCUAACUUUUGGAGUUAAGAUAACUUUAAGAUCUACUAUUUCUUUUUCGAAUAAUGCCAACCAACUCGACCAAGACAUUUAUAUGAAAAAGAUAAAAAAAAAAAAGAUGUGUUAAGUUAGUGUUUUCCCAGCCGACUCGCACACCACCAUCUUUUUUUAGAUUGAAGAAGUAUCAAGAGAAGGUCCACCUCAUCUAAUAUUUAUCGAUAAGUGGGCUUCCCAUAUCAACUUAUUCACUCUCCAAAUAUCCAACCAUGAGUAAGAUCUAUUUCUUAAUACUGGCAACAAGUAUCGAUUGACUUUUACUUUAAUCAUAAGAUUAGAUUCAGUGCCAGACUCUAUGCAUUGUGUUACCACUUAGCAGAGUGCUGUGUUUUUAAUGAACGAUCGAUCGCUACCCCCUGAGUCGCAAUUGACCAUUUCAAUAGACAUAUAGGCAAGGAAACUUCAGUAUGUAUACUUUUCUGUUGAACAUGAGACAACUUGCUUGGGUGUCGAAGAAAGAGAGCCAAAGGGCUAGAUAGAGAGAGGAGAGGGUACUCAAUACUCACCAUUGGCUCUUCACUCCUGUUUUCAAUUAGCAAAAUUAAGAGAGACAUAUCAACAAUUUCAAUACUGUAAAAUAGUUCAAAAUCCUGAAUUUUGCACUGCAUGUAAAAAAGAAAUUCAAAAAUUUAAUCAGUACAAUGAGGUCGGAAAAAAAAUCUCAACAAUGGUUGAUCUAAAAGUUAAUGAACAAAGGAAAAGAGACAUGGCAAAACAAUAAUAGCAAUUUGCCUGAAUUGUACUGGAAUAGAAAAAUUGAAAAGAGGGGAAGAGUCUUAAAACAAAAGAACUUUAUUAUGCAUUCUAACGCUAUAUUCAAAUAUUCUUCCUUCUAAUUAAAAUAGUUGAAGGAUGAAAUUAACAAACAAUGAGAAAACUCGGAAAGAAAGCAGACCAAGAAUUUGAAAUAUGAAAAAGAAUCAAAAACAUGCAAAAUUAAACUGACCGGACGCUAGAAGCCUAAAACCAAGCAAUCCUAGUAGCAGGUUUGAGCAAACAAUUGAUUAAAUGAUAGGGAGAUCCAGCAAAAUUGUUUGAGCAAAAAACAAAGAAAAAGGAGAGCAACCAAAUGAACAGAUGGAGAUCAGAUCGGUGAAAGGAUGGAUGGUAUGGAUAAACGUGGUAAAUUUAGUGCAGGUUGAAUGACACAUAAGGAAAGUAGAGGUGAAGACGAAAAUGCCCUUAGUGCUUAAACAAGCAUGUUGAAACAUAGCCUUUCCUAAUAUAGUAGUAAUAAUAAUAAUCAAUGGCGGAUGUAGAGUAGAAGGUGUGGGUUCCCGGGAACCCACACCCGCUACCGUAAGACUUAAAAUUACAUAAAAAAAUCGUCAAAAGUUAUAAAUAUUAAUAGGUGGGAACCCAUAACUAAACCAAGGGAUAACUUAGUGACAGGAAAGGAGCCCUUGUGAACCCACAAGUUUAUAAUUCUGGAUCCGCCUCUGAUAAUAAUUGAGGAGCUCCUAGGUUGAAAAUCACCAAAACAAAAAAUAGUAUUUACUACUUACCAUAAACGAAGAAAAGGAUAAAUAUAUCCUCAUAACUAUAGUAGGUAUAGGUCAUUUGUUAUAUUUUGAGUACAUAUAUAUUCUUAUCAUUAAUAAAAUAGUACGUAUAUGUUCCUCAGAUUAAUGUCAAAGGCAUAUAUGUAUCCAAAGUAUGACGGUGAUCAUAUGCAUAUCAUGUACCAUAGUUCAAUGGUAUAUUUAUCUCCUUUUCGUUUUAAUUUUUGUAACCCCAAUAAUUAACGGAAACCUACUAUCCAACUCAAUAGAAUCACUAUCCGAUCUUGUCUCAAUUAAAAUUAAAGGAACACCUAACAUAUGCAUUUUUCUCACUCUUGUAACAAUAUAUACACAUAAGCCAGUAACACGCACUACUAUCAAUUUUAAAAAAGAAAUCAUUAACUUGUAACACCUAAAAACAACAUCCAAUAAAUUCAUGUCUCAAUUUUUCAGCGAAAUUUCAUCGAAAAAAUACAAUCCACCACCGGUCAGCACCAUAUAGCCACCGUCUAUGUCGAAUAAAAAAACAUGCAUUGGCGAACCACAUCGCACCGCUAGCUCCAACCACCUUCGACCUAAUCUCCACUCCCUCCAACCCGCAAACACCAACGAAUAGCAUUGAUCAAUCACUGUAAUUUGAUUGUGCUUCAAGUUUAAAAGAAAAAUAGAGAGAGUAUUGAAUUUGAAACAAAAAUAGAAAUUGGAUCGAGUUGGUCUGCAAAGGUUCAAUGGGUUUAUUGAGUUGAAUAGGGAGUUUGAAUUAAUUAUUUUAAAUAAAAAAUUAAACGAAAAAGAAACAAAUAUAUCCCAGAAUUAUGAUAAAUAAUACGUAUAAAUAAUACGUAUAUACUCUACAUUAUACUUUGUGUACAUAUAUGUCCCUACCGUUAGUGUCAGAGAUAUACAUAUAAUUUCAUUAACGAAUAUAUACGUAUCAUUUAUCAUAAUCCCAAUAUAUAUUUACUCUUUUUCCGUACAAUAAAUAAGGAACACAAACUAACCGUCCACCCUGGAAAGUCUACCAAGGUACUACUACCAAUUACUAACAAGACAAGGAGUGGUAUUUGUUAUAGUUUGAGGCUUAGCUUUACUAGCCGAAGCUCCUGGACUCAAAAUCUAUCUUCCAAGACCCACAUCCUCAUUUCGUUGUCUCCGUCAAUCAGCCAUUAGCGUAUGUAAUUAAUUUGCGUAGUGGCAUGUUCGUAUCAGUGGUGAAACCGAGAUAUUUACUAAGGAGUUCAUAAGUGAACAAAUGAAUUAACCAAAGAUGGUCAACAUCUAAUAUAUAUACAUAAAAUUUAAUUUUAAUCAUGUAUAUAUAGCAUAAUUUUUUGUCGAUCUGAACCCCCUCGGCAAAGGGUAGAUCCGCCACUGGUUCGUAUAUUUUACGCGGACCCUUAAUGAGUCUAAGAUUAGAUAUUUGGUUUCAUCAACACAUUCUUCGUACAGACUGCAAAUAAAGAAAAACGGAGAAUGAAAUUGGCAAGCUUGUGACGUGACUAUAUGAAAGCAGUAAUGGUCCUGCAAGUGAAGUGAUGAAGCGGAUGAUUUCAUAAACUUCAAAAGAAAAAAAGACAGAGAAAUAAUACUGGAUAAUGUCAUUACAUAAGCACGGGAAACAAUCCCUAAGAUCGAAUACAUUUGAUUAUAUCAGAGUUCAGUAAGUGCUGAAGCCAAGUUGAAAUUAUAUGCCCCGUAUUGCAUAAAGCAUAUAAAGCUGAAAUGCGUUUAAGAUAUACAAUCCACUUGUUGCUAAUCUUACAUCCAAAACCUUUAUGUAGAUUUGAAUACCAAAAUCAAAACUUCCAAAACCUUUAUGUAGAUUUGACCAUAAAAGAAUAAUCUUCAUAGGUUAAGAUUCCUUUUUAGAAGUUUUGAUAAAAUAAAGAAAAAAACCGCACUCUCCCUUAGGAGCGGAGCCAGCCUCAGAAAAAUAUAUUAUUUAUACGUGAUUAAAAUUCAUUUUUAUAUGAUUAUAGUAAAUGUUAAACUCCCUUUAACUAAGUUUUCUUUGAAUAUAAAACCCUUAGUUAAAAUCCUAAUUUUUUUAAUUUUUUUUUUGAAUAUGAAUCUCCUUCAUUAAAAUCCUGAUUCCGCCUCUGCUCUCCCUAGUUAAAAAACAUCACCCAAUCUAGAGCCUAAUUACAAAAAAAAAUAGUGUUCUUCUAUGCUUCCCUUUAGAUCUACGCUUCCCUUCAGAUUAUUUAAGAAAGUGAGGACUAAUCAAAUCAAUUAUCUCAAGGAACUCAACACGCUUCUUUCCAUCAAAAAUCUCAUCACAAAUUAUGACCUCCUUGUUUUGAGGAUCCUAUAAAGGCCCGUAAAAGAAAGAGUCGGCAGCGCAAAGAGUGGAGAUACGCUAUCAGAAAGCAUUCCCUUCUUUUCACCAACCUCUCGGAUAAACCAUAGAGAGCAUCAUGUUAGAUAUCAACACUAGAAAGCUAAAGCCAGAUUACACACCCAACACAAUGCAACAAAAGAUUUGACAUACUAAUUACAGUACUACAUAGACCGGUAGAAGACAGCAGUCCAAAUGCGCUAAGCAUUCCAAAACUUCCAAUAGAUACUUAAGAUGGCAUCUAGGUAGACAAAGGUAGCAAAUCAGAAGCAUGCAAAAAGCCAGCAAUUGUGGCAAAGAACAUAGAUUAGAACCAGUAUAUUCUUUCUCAACAUAUAUACCACUAGAUAAAAUUUCCGGUGUUAAAGUAAGCAUAUCGAAUGAAAAUAACAAAUUUACAUCUUUGUUCAUAGAAGAGACGAAAUGAAGCUCAACCCACGAAAACAUUAAAGAUCAAUCGAACAACUACAAACAUGUAAAAGAAAAAACUGCAUCAAUAGCCAUUUCAGAUAAGAGUGAGCAACUACUUCAGUCAAAUGUUAAAAUUUAUGCCACAUGGAAAGGAUGUUGCAACAAGGUUUCACCGGGAUUCGCUUUAAAGGAGAGUGAAAAUUAGGGGCCAGAAAAACUCAAGACAUACUAAUUCAAGGGAAGGAAAAGAGAACCAGAAAUCUUAAAUAAAUGUAAAGGAAAUUAUUCAUUAAUCAAGCUCAUACAACAAUUUCUUGUUUACAACUACAAAGCCAAGACCCACAACUUAGAUAAUUACACACACACAAUUCAGAUUACACCAAACACAAUAGACAAAGGACUUUCAACAAAAACAGCUGAUCUGCAUGCACUUGUUUAACCAGAUAUGUCAAUUGCCUUGACCUCAGGUUUCUUCUCCUCUUCUUUCGGAACUGUUACAGUGAGCACUCCAUCCUCCAUAGCUGCCUUAAUUUCCCCUGUUUUCGUAUUCUCCGGCAGCCUAAAUCUCCUCAAAAACUUGCCACUGCUCCUCUCCAUACGGUGCCACUGAUCAUUCUUCUCCUCUUGCUCUCUGCUCCUCUCACCGCUUAUCUGUAGUAUCCUUCCUUCUUCAACUUCGACUUUCACUUCCUCUCUCUUGAUCCCCGGAACGUCUACUUUGAAGAUGUGCGCUUGUGGGGUCUCUUUCCAAUCGAUUCUUGCAUUUGCGAAAGCAGAGGUUUCACGAGCAGAGGAGGGGGUGUUGGCGAUUGUGCUUGAAAUUGGGAAGCCUUCGAACGGAUCCCAUAAGUCGAGGGAGAAUGGGUCGAAGAUGUUGCUCCUGCGACCACCGAAGAAGCUUGGAAUCAGAGACAUUUUUUGGGGACUUUGUCGUUUGAAGAAGACAAAAGAUGAACUAUUACAGAGCUUGAAUUUUUCUUUGAUUGUAGCGUUUAAUAAUUUGCUGAUGACCAAUGAGAGAAGAUGUCGUGAUAUUUAUAGGCGAUGAUGAACCAAGAAACUUAAUGUAAUUGGAGUGUAAUCUAGGAUGUUCUCAGAGUAUUCGACGAUAUUCCCCACAAAGCUAUCAAAUUCGAGGCUAAUCUAGGAUGUUCGUCGGUUGAUUUUUGAUAAGAGAAAUAAGAAGCUUCUACACUAUUCCAGAUAUUUUUUCUGAAGGGUCACUGCACAUUUUUGCUCGUGAAGUCAUAAGGUCGAUUGUAUUCGUCUUAAAUUAAAAAUGGAACGAAAGAAAUAUAUAAUGACUUGACGCUCUUACUAUAUUCGGACUUGUUUCGUCAAUUUGGAUCCUUCUAUUCAUUACAUUGCCAAUUCAAUUCUUAAAUUCAACAAAAUCACAUAUGUAAGCAAAUUAAAAUAAAGAGAUUAAUUUUAGAAAAAAUUACAGAAAUUAGUAUCCUUAAGAUUAUAAUUACAAUAAAUAGCAACACUUUUUUAAAAUUAUAACUAGCAAAAGUAGCAAUAUUUUACUUAUUUCAUAGUAAUAGAACAAUAUGUAUUUUUCAAUUGUGCAUAUAUAUUUAUGAGUAAUAUAUAUAUAUUUGUAUAUGUAUUUAUAUAGCAACAUUUUACUUAAAUACAAAUACAAUUUACUAUUUUUCGUAAUUAUAAAACUGUUGCUAUAAAAGUUAUAAUUAAGGUUUAGAGUUACUAUUUCUGAAACACUUCCAUUAUAGGAGCUCUUAGAUUGAGUUGAAAAUCACCAAAACAAUCUGGCAGCUCAUAAUCGAUAUGUCUAUUUCAUUUAAUUCAAUCAUACUUUUAUUAUAUUAUUUUUAAUUAAUUAUUAUAAAUUAUUUAUAUAUUCAAAAUUAAUAAUAUUUAAUGAAAAAAUAAAAUAGACAUAUAUAACAUAUUUGUUUCUUCAAUUGUAAUUUUAUUAUAUCACUCCUAACUAAGUAUUAUAAGUCAUCUAUAUAUUAAAAAAUAAUAAUAUUUUAUAAAAUAUAAAAUAAACAUAAAAUAAUAAAUUAAUGUUUGAUGUUUUAAAUUAAAUUGACGUCUUAUAUUGAAUCCACUUAAAUUUUUUUCACAAGUAUUUAAUUUUUUUUAUAUCAUUUGUAACUAAUUAUUAUAAUAAUUUAAAACAUAUCUAAUUCGCUGCUUUAAUCGUGAUUUUACUAUAUCAUCCCCUAAUUAAUUAUUAUAAAUUAUUUAAGUAUUAAAAAAUUAAUAUAAUUUCAUAGAAAAAGUAAAAUAUACACAAAAUAAAAGUUAACUCUUAAUAUCUUAAAUUAACGUGUCGACUUAAAUAAGAUUCAUUUAAUUUUUUUUAUAAAUAUUUUUUAUAAUAGUUUUUUAUAUUACUUUUAAUUAGUUAUUAUAAUUCAAUUAAAUAUUAAAAAAUAAAUACUAAUAUUUAAUAACUGACACAAAAUAGAUAUAAAAUACUCCCUCCAUUUUAUUUUACGUGUCAUAAUUUGACUAAGGAUGGAGUCUAAAAAAUAAAAAAAGACUAUGAUUUUUUUAUCAAAUUGUCUUCUAUUAAAAAAAAUGUACUACUAGUAUCUUUAAUUAAGUGGAACCUCAUAAGUUGUACCAAUAAAGAUAAAAGUGAAAUUGUAUCUUUAAAUAAUUAUUAAAUAAGAAAAUAUGCAUUCUUUUUUAUAUAGACCCAAAAAAAAAAUAACGAAACAUAAAAUAGGAUGGAAGGAGUAACAAAUUAAAAAUGAUUGAAUGAAGUAUUUUGCAACGGUAAUAUCUGUGUCAAAAACGACUUACUAAUAUCUAAAUGAUUAAAUUUAAACAAAAUAUUAAAUACAUAGUUGCGAAUUAAGAACUGAAUUAUCAAAAUUUAUUUUUUAUUAGACAUAAAUGAAGCAUAAAAUACGUAAAUAAGGGAAUUAAUUUUUUGUUACUAUUUUAUCAUUUCAAUUCACUUGACAACAUUUAAUCAAGCAUGGAGUAGAAAAAUAAAAUGCUUUUGAAAUUCGUAAAUAAAUAAACGUUAAAUUUUUUACGAUCAUAAAAUAUUUUAUCAAAAAAUAAAACAAAAAUUGUAAAAAUAAAUUGUUUCUUCUCAUCACUCACUACAUGCCACUAUUUACUUACAAUAAAUAGAAAUUAUGUUAGGAACACAAAAUAACCGUCCACCAUGAGAAGUCCAACAAGGUACUACAACCAAAUACCGAACAAAUAGUAGUAGUAUUUGUUAUAGCUCUCGAGGCUUGAGCAUUUCUAGCUGAAGCUCCUGGACUCAAAAUCUACCUUCCUAGACCCACAUCCUCAUUUCGCGGUCUCCGAUUUUGUAAUCCAAAUUUAGUUGAUUCGAUUCUGAAAAGAUCGCGGUGCAACUCACGGUUGAAAUUUUUUGAGGGAUCUGUGAUGGUAGUGUAUUAUAGAAGUGCGACUUAAAGGAUUGAUUUUAAUAUAAUAGUUCUCGUGUGUUAUUAAGAACUUUUACUCCUCCCACUCUUCGAUAUAAUGAAUUCCUCCUCCUCUCUAUGAUUUUUCUCAUCAAAGAUUUUCACUUAAAUCUAUGUGUAUUCAUCUUAUUUUUCUUUUGCUUAUCAUAUUGCUUAUUUAUGUUUGAUUUCAUAUUACUUAAUUUGCAUAGUGGCAUGUUCGUAUAUUUUACACGGACCCUUCAUGAGUCUUGAGAUUUGGAUAUCUUCAAACAAACAGACACUGCAAUAGAGAAAAACGGCAAGCUAGUAACGUGACUAUAUGAAAGCAGUAUUAGACCUGCAAGAAAAGUGAAGGAGCUGAUGAUUCCACAAACUUCAUAAAAACAAAGAAAUAAUACUGAAUAGAUUCACUACAUUUGGCCAUGUCAGAGCUGCAGCCAAGUAGAAGUUGUACUAAAUAUGCCCCACAACAACUCACUUGGCUACUAAUUCUGCAAUCCAAAAACCGUCACACAUAUAAAUCCGAUUACCAAAAUCAAAACUUUAACAGGAAAGUAAUCCUAUAGGUUAAGGCUCCUCCAAAGAAGUUCAGAUAAACUUGUUGUCUUUCACAAGAAUAUGUAAUUUAACACAAUAACUUUAAUAUUAAUUCAAGUUUAAAACAAUAACAUUAUAGAGUUAAUCUUUUUAAGAAAUAUAUAUUUUUUCAGAAAUUUAGAUGAAAUAAAAAUAUAAAGCCAAAUCCCCUAACUUCACAGAAGUUCCUUAAAAAAUAAUUCCCUUCAUUUUAUCCAAAAUUUUUUUAGAAUCUUCCUUAAAAUGACUUUCAAUUCACUGUACCCAAAGUUUUAGAAUCUUCCAAUUAUAAUAAUACCUCAGAUAAUUAAAUUCGUCAAACUCAGCGAUUUGAUUGAUCACAACAAAUAUUUUGAAGACAAAAAGUUUGUAUUUCAGAAAAAAAAAAAUUCCUACCAAAAUCUGUUGAUAAAUGCAGAUUUAUAUAAUCAUCAAAUGCCCCUUCCAAAAAAUGAUAAUGAUUCAUCAAACAAUGUGUAUCCUUUAAAAAAUCAUGUCUGUUCAUUCAAAACAUUUUUUUUUAAACAGACACAACUAUCUGAACAAUUAUUCUUUUACAAAAGAAUUGUGUCCCUUUAUUUUUUAUUCACACCAAUUAAACCCAACAAAACCAACAAAACUAAAUUAACAAAGCACCCUUCACCCAAGUAAAUAUUAUCAGCCAAUUUAGAGCCUAAUUUAGAAAAAAAAAAAAAAAAAAAAAAAAGGAAGGUGCUCCUGCGACGCUUCCCUUUAGAUUCGUCCCUUUAGAUCAUUUUAAGGAAGUAAGGACUAAUCAAACUUAUCAACCCAACAAUAUAUAGAUAGGUGUUAACUCCAUAAUAAAAGAACAAGUAGGAUAAUGCAAUUAGAAAGAGUUGGCAACGCAAACAGUGGAGAUGCACCAGCAGAAAGCAUUCCCUUCUUUUCACUGACCUCCCCAGAUAAAUUAUAGAGAUAACAUCAUGUUAAAUAAAUAUCAACACUAGAAAGCUAAAGCCAGAUUACACACCCAAUACAAAGCUACAAAAGAUUUGACAUACUAAUUACACUAAAUAGACCGAUAGAAGACAGCAGACCAAAUGCACCAAGCAUUCCAAACUUCCAAUAGAUGCUUAGGAUGGCAUGGCAUCUAGGUAGACAAAGGCAGCAAAUCAGAAGCACGCUAAAAGCCAGCAAUUGUAGCAUAGAAUAGAUUAUAUUCUCUCUCGACAUACUACUAGAUAAAAUAUCUAUCAAAUUAAAAGAACAGUCCAGCGUACUAGUAAAUAUAUCAACUAUAACUUACAAAAUCAUAAAAGUCGCACAAUAAUUUCAUUGAAGCUUGAUACUUCGUAAGUGAAUGAAAUUAGACAAACAUAUAUCUUUGUUUAUAGAAGAGAAGAGUAUGAAAUGAAGCUCAACACACAAACAUGACAAAGAUCAAUCGAACAACUACAAACAUGUGGAGAGUGAGCAACAACUUUAGUCAAAAACAUACAAAUGCAAGGAAGGAAAAAGAGAAACAACAAUUUAAAAUAAAUGCUAAAAGGAAAUUAUUCAUUAAUCAAACUCUCACAACAUUUUCUUGUUUACAACUCCAAAGCCAAGACCCACAACUUAGACAAUUACACAGACACAUAAUUCAGAUUACACCAAACAUAACUUACUAAGGACUUUAAAACAACAGUUGAUCUGCAUGGACUUGUUUAACCAGAGAUAUCAAUUGCCUUCACCUCAGAUCUCUUCUCCUCUUCUUUAGGAACAGUUACAGUGAGCACUCCAUUCUCCAUAGCUGCUUUAAUUUCCCCCAUCUUCGUAUUCUCCGGCAGCCUAAAUCUCCUCAAAAACUUGCCACUGCUCCUCUCCAUACGGUGCCACUGAUCAUUCUUCUCCUCCUGCUCUCUGCUCCUCUCACCGCUUAUCUGUAAUAUCCUUCCUUCUU